CCGAGCGUAGGUAUGGCGGUUGCCAUACCUUGCCACGUAAGGUCCUCCGCCACUGCUUCAAAAGCCGGUAUGGGAAUGUUGUUGGAGGGAUCAUUUGCCUGUGGAUCGUUGCCAUCGCCAUAUACUUGUGUGGCAUGGGCUCCAUGACUAGCAACUCGAGGAUGACUUAUGCGUUCUCAAGAGAUGGGGCAAUGCCGUUCUCGUCCCUCUGGCGCAAAGUUAACAAGCUCGAAGUGCCGAUAAACGCUGUCUGGCUCUCAGCUUUCAUUUCCCUUUGCAUGGCAUUGCCGUAUCUGGGCAGCCUCGUCACGUU